GGGCUUGACAUGCACUGGAAACCGGCAGAGAUGUCGGCCCCCUUGUGGCCGGUGUACAGGUGGUGCAUGGCUGUCGUCAGCUCGUGUCGUGAGAUGUUGGGUUAAGUCCCGCAACGAGCGCAACCCUUGUCCUGUGUUGCCAGCGCGUAAUGGCGGGGACUCGCGGGAGACUGCCGGGGUCACU
rnacentral:rRNA from 1 species